rnacentral:rRNA from 1 species
UACGUAGGGGGCUAGCGUUGUUCGGAAUUACUGGGCGUAAAGAGUGUGUAGGCGGUGCUCUAAGUUCGGUGUGAAAUCUCCUGCUCAACUGGGAGGGUGCGCCGGAAACUGGAGUGCUUGAGCGGUGGGGAGAGGAAAGCGGAAUUCCUGGUGUAGCGGUGAAAUGCGUAGAUAUCAGGAGGAACACCUGUGGUGUAGACGGCUUUCUGGACCA